UUGCUGGAUGCUGACGAGCGGCGGACGGGUGAGUAAUGCAUAGGAAUCUGCCCGAUAGUGGGGGAUAACCUGGGGAAACCCAGGCUAAUACCGCAUACGUCCUACGGGAGAAAGGGGGCUCCGGCUCCCGCUAUGGGAUGAGCCUAUGUCGGAUUAGCUAGUUGGUGAGGUAACGGCUCACCAAGGCGACGAUCCGUAGCUGGUCUGAGAGGAUGAUCAGCCACAUCGGGACUGAGACACGGCCCGAACUCCUACGGGAGGCAGCAGUGGGGAAUAUUGGACAAUGGGGGAAACCCUGAUCCAGCCAUGCCGCGUGUGUGAAGAAGGCCCUCGGGUUGUAAAGCACUUUCAGCGAGGAAGAACGCCUAGCGGUUAAUACCCGCUAGGAAAGA
rnacentral:rRNA from 1 species